CAGCCGCCGCGGUAAUACCGGCGGCCCGAGUGGCGGCUACUAUUAUUGGGCCUAAAGCGUCCGUAGCCGGGCUAGUAAGUCCUCCGGGAAAUCUGGUCGCUUAACGAUCAGACUUCCGGAGGAUACUGCUGGCCUAGGGACCGGGAGAGGCCGAGGGGAUUCCCGGGGUAGGGGGGAAAUCCUGUAAUCCCGGGAGGACCACCUGUGGCGAAGGCGCUCGGCUGGAACGGGUCCGACGGGGAGGGCCGAAGGCCAGGGGAGCGAACCGGAUUAGAUACCCGGGUAGUCCUGGCGGUAAACGAUGCGGACUAGGUGUCGGGCAAGCUAAGGGCUUGUCCGGUGCCGCAGGGAAGCCGUUAAGUCCGCCGCCUGGGGAGUACGGCCGCAAGGCUGAAACUUAAAGGAAUUGGCGGG
rnacentral:rRNA from 1 species